AUGAACGCUGGCGGCUUGCCUAAUACAUGCCCGUCGAGCGCACAGACGAGGAGCUUGCUCCUCUGACGUUAGCGGCGGACGGGUGAGUAACACGUGGAUGACCUACCUAUAAGACUGGGAUAACUUCGGGAAACCGGAGCUAAUACCGGAUAAUAUAUUGCACCGCAUGGUUCCAUAGUGAAAGACGGUUUUGCUGUCACUUAUAGAUGGAUCCGCGCCGCAUUAGCUAGUUGGUAAGGUAACGGCUUACCAAGGCAACGAUGCGUAGCCGACCUGAGAGGGUGAUCGGCCACACUGGAACUGAGACACGGUCCAGACUCCUACGGGAGGCAGCAGUAGGGAAUCUUCCGCAAUGGGCGAAAGCCUGACGGAGCAACGCCGCGUGAGUGAUGAAGGUCUUCGGAUCGUAAAACUCUGUUAUUAGGGAGGAACAAAUGUGUAAGUAACUAUGCACGUCUUGACGGUACCUAAUCAGAAAGCCACGGCUAACUACGUG
rnacentral:rRNA from 1 species